GCCGUUGUAGCUCAGCUGGUAGAGCACUUCCAUGGUAAGGAAGGGGUCGCCGGUUCAAUCCCGGCCAACGGCUCCA
rnacentral:tRNA from 3 species